rnacentral:rRNA from 1 species
GAUGAACGCUUGCGGCGUGCUUAACACAUGCAAGUCGAACGGAAAGGCCCAAGCUUGCUUGGGUACUCGAGUGGCGAACGGGUGAGUAACACGUGGGUGAUCUGCCCUGCACUUCGGGAUAAGCCUGGGAAACUGGGUCUAAUACCGGAUAGGACCACUUCUUGGAUGUUGUGGUGGAAAGUUUUUUCGGUGUGGGAUGAGCUCGCGGCCUAUCAGCUUGUUGGUGGGGUAAUGGCCUACCAAGGCGUCGACGGGUAGCCGGCCUGAGAGGGUGUACGGCCACAUUGGGACUGAGAUACGGCCCAGACUCCUACGGGAGGCAGCAGUGGGGAAUAUUGCACAAUGGGCGCAAGCCUGAUGCAGCGACGCCGCGUGGGGGAUGACGGCCUUCGGGUUGUAAACUCCUUUCGCUAGGGACGAAGCGUUUUGUGACGGUACCUGGAGAAGAAGCACCGGCUAACCACGUG